UGACAGUAUGCAUUACACACACACACACACACACAUCAUUUAUAUGUGUGUGUGUGUGUGUGUGUAUGUGAUUGUGUAAACAGACA